rnacentral:rRNA from 1 species
AUUGAACGCUGGCGGCAUGCCUUACACAUGCAAGUCGAACGGUAACGGGCCUUCGGGUGCCGACGAGUGGCGAACGGGUGAGUAAUGUAUCGGAACGUACCUUUCAGUGGGGGAUAACGUAGCGAAAGUUACGCUAAUACCGCAUAUUCUGUGUGCAGGAAAGCAGGGGAGCGCAAGACCUUGCGCUGAUUGAGCGGCCGAUAUCAGAUGAGCUAGUUGGUGAGGUAAAGGCUCACCAAGGAGACGAUCUGUAGCGGGUGUGAGAGGAUGAUCCGCCACACUGGAACUGAGACACGGUCCAGACUCCUACGGGAGGCAGCAGUGGGGAAUUUUGGACAAUGGGGGCAACCCUGAUCCAGCCAUGCCGCGUGAGUGAAGAAGGCCUUCGGGUUGUAAAGCUCUUUCGGCCGGGAAGAAAUCGUAUCAGCUAAUACCUGGUGCGGAUGACGGUACCGGCAUAAGAAGCACCGGCUAACUACGUGCCAGCCGCCGCGGUAACAC